AGACCCCCGGUAGACCACCGGGUACAGAGGCCAGAAAUGCAAGCCCAGCAAUGGGCUCAGUUGACUGGUCCUCAUCGGUCGAGGUCUUGACCAU
rnacentral:rRNA from 1 species